rnacentral:lncRNA from 1 species
UGUUUCUGUGCAUGACUUAGUGACACCUCCUGGCCCCCAGGACUCUUGGAGGGGUCAGGGAGGCAAGGUACGCAAAGUGCCUCAUAUGAUGAAGUAGGUACCGGUUACAUGCUCGUUCCCUCCCCUUUUAGGGUUGAAUAUCAUGAGAUGCUUGACAUGACGGGAGAACAGUACCCCCCUCCGUCACCUGCCUGUGGUCUGAACCAGGGGAGCCUUCCUCCAUGGCUCCACCCCGUUGUGAAAAGCCGGGCAGGGGUGCAGUGACUGCCGAGGACCACUGGAGGGCGGGCUGGCCCACAGGCCAGUCCUGAGACAGCUUCGUUCAUGACUAGACCCAGAAGGAAGUUAGGAGGUGAUGCUGGGGGGCUGCUCCCACCUGGCGAAGGAGCCUGGAUGCCUGGCCUGCUAGUGGUACAUCUGGAUGACUCGGCCCUGACCUUUGCCCCCCUGCACGUUGUCCCCAGUCCUCUGCCAAGCAUGAGGAGAAAGUCCUCUGGCUAAGUGCCAAGCAUCCACACCCGGCACAGGGACACUGUCAUUGGGCCGGGCUCAGGGCACACCUGGUCCUGAGUGUGGCCAUCAGCCUGGUCAUGGGGGAAAGGAUGGGCAGGUAAAGGAUCCAAGAAGUUUACCCGAAAACUUGAGCCCAAAAUUCUGUCUCCCCUUCCGGGGCAAUGGUGCCAAGGUGACCUUGGGUCCUCGGUGUGUGCCUUCACACUGACGGGCUUGUGCUGUCUCCUCUCCUUGCACAAGACAAGUCGCUCAAAGCCUGAAGACGCCUUGACCGGGAAGUCACGGCUGAGGAAGGGACAGUGCAGGUGCAGAAGCUCCAGGCCAGGUGCAGUGCCCUCCGGGCCGCCCCCAGGGCACAGGGACACUCCUCAUUUGCUGCAUAUCCAUGCCACUUUCCCUUCUCCUCCUUUUCCUUAAGUUCUGCCCAAGUUCUAAACUCCGAGAAACUUUCAGCAGCUGCCCUGAUAUAACGCACAGUAUUGUCAGCGCUGCAAAGCCGGCUGGGCCCCCGUCAGGUUGGGGUGUGCUCAUCGCGUCCAUUUUAUUAAGAAGCUUUCUCUCCCUGCUUGUUUGGAGGCCAGGACUAAUCUUCUGUCCAGCACUGAGAGGUCCAGUGUCCCCUCCCCCUGCCUCCCCAAAGUAGCUCAGUUUAAAUAUAUAUAUGAAAACAAAUAAAGUUCAAAACGAAGUAAAGCCGUGGGCCAGUAAGCAACGAAGUCAGAAGGGUGCUCCCCGUUUCUGCACGUGAGUCUUCUCGCUAAGAAUGUGACCGGGCUGGUACGUACCCGCGUCUAUCUUCAAGGCUGAGGCCUCAAAUCCUCCCGAAUUGCCUCCUCUGUCGUUCCCCCAAGCACACGCACAUCUGAAAUCCACUGUCCAGUCCAGUGCUUCUCGGAGGGGCAACGUGCACCGGAUCACCUGGAGAUCUGGUUGACGUGGAGAUUCUGGUUCAGCAGGUGCUGCCCCAGUUUCCUCCUCUGUGUGGUGACGGGAUGAGGGCCUACUUUCUCGAGCCACAGAUUUGACCUUCUGGUUCAUCUCUCCCCUCCCUCAGGGAGGGCUCCGCAUCCUCUGCCGCCUGCCUUGCCUGGUGAUGGCUGUAGGGCAUCACCAUCCCUGACCUUCUCUAGACCCAUAGCCACAAUCUCAGCAACAAUCUCCUCCGUUGUGCAAAUGAGAAAACAGAGGCCCAGAGAGGAACACAACUUGCCCAAGGUCACACAGCAAGGAUUUAAUGGAGCACAGAGCCCGACCUUGGAGUGGGAAGGAAAGGAGGACGUUGGGAUGGCUCAGGGAUGGGGGUUUCACUGGCCUGCGGGUCUGUGUGUUCCCCGGAAAGCAGGGCCCCCGGGAAGGUGAGAAGGCCGUGCACCCUUCCUGGUCCUGUUUCUGUGCCUCAGCCUGCCUCCUGCGUGGCCAAGGCCUGGCCUGAGGGCGGUGGCCCCAGCCAGAGCCGGACACGCCCUCUGGACACAUCCGGAGCUGUCUGGAAAGGACCUUGCUGGUUUCAUAAAGAUCCUCCCAGGGCAGGGCUCAGGACGUUCCUGGACAGCUGGUGGGCUGGGCUUCCUCCCACCACCACAGCCACCCGGUGAAGCGCCCCACCCCCAGCCUGGGUGUCUCCCGGCGCCCAGAGCUGCAGUCCCCCCUCCCCUUGCCCUUGGAAGCCACACCUUGCUGCUCAUCCUACAAGCCCCAGCCCUGUCUGGGCUGCCCAGAAAGUGACCUUUGCCCUGAGGAGCUGGUGACAGAAGAGGAGCUUUCUCUAGAGAACAAAGGUCAACUGGGGUCCCCAGGCUGAUUGGCCUAGGCCAGAAGCAUCAGUUUCUUGGGCUGGGCCCCUAGUCUCUGCCCCCCAAGCUCCCCCCACACACACUCAUUCUAGGGCAAGGUUGGGGUUGAUGGAAGCGUCUGGGGCUGACUGGAGGGGCUGGGGGGCCUGAGUGUCCUGACCCUAGAAGGGGCCAUCGCUGCAUUAGAGUGACUGCAACCCUGGAACUUAAAAAUACCAGUAACUUGGGGCUGGCCCCGUGGCCGAGUGGUCAAGUUCAUGCGCUCCGCUGCAGGCCGCCCAGUGUUUCGUUGGUUCGAAUCCUGGGCGCGGACAUGGCACUGCUCAUCAAACCACGCCGAGGCAGCAUCCCACAUACCACAACUACAAGGACCCACAACGAAGAAUAUACAACUAUGUACCGGGGGGGCUUUGGGGAGAAAAAGGAAAAAAUAAAAUCUUUAAAAAA